UUGUCAUCCCCUUCUCUGCAACUAAUCAUUCAUAUCUCUCUCUUCGUAACACUAAUAUAGUCUUUUUCUUGAAGAAAACUUAGAUCAAAAGAGAAAGAGAGAGACAUAAUUAAUGGAUGUGGUGGGUGAUCUUUUGCCAUUCUUGGCUAUGGUUCUUGUACAGUUUGGCUUUGCAGGGAUGAACAUCACUUCAAAGCUUGCAAUGGACUCCGGCAUGAAGCCACUCGUUCUUGUAUCUUACCGGCAAAUCUUUGCCACCAUUGCGAUGGUCCCUUUUGCUUAUUUCUUCGAGUGGAAAACAAGACCCAAGAUUACCAAGGCUCUGCUGUUGCAGAUUUUCAUAUGUUCCCUUACUGGGGUAACUGGAAACCAGGUUUUUUAUUUUAUUGGGCUAGAAAAUUCCACCCCAACAAUUGGUUGUGCACUGACUAAUAUUCUCCCUGCUGUCACUUUUAUUCUAGCAGUUGUCCUCAGACAAGAAUCUGUUGGACUUAAGAAGAUAUCAGGGCAAGCUAAGCUGUUAGGGACAAUAAUAUGUGUAGGAGGAGCCAUGUUGUUGUCGUUUUAUCAUGGAGCAAUCAUUAAUGUAGGCGAAUCCAGCAUUCACUGGAAAUAUGCAGAUGAAAUGGGAAGCAGCAAUUCUGCUUCCAAAUCAAACUUCAUUUUGGGCCCUUUGCUUAUAAUGUUUAGUUCUGUUUGUUGGGCUAUCUGGUUUACACUUCAGGCUAACGUAAGUGACAAAUUUCCGGCUCCAUAUACAAGCACAUUGUUGAUGUGCUUCAUGGGUAGCAUUGAGUGCGCGGUCAUUGGCUUGUUUGCAAAUCACAAACCGUCCGAGUGGUCAUUGCACGCUCCAGGCAGGCUUGUUGCAGCUCUUUAUGCAGGAGUUGUAUGUUCUGCUCUAGCAUUUUCCCUCACCUCAUGGAGCAUCCAAAAGAAAGGAGCUCUCUACGUCUCAGUGUUCAGCCCCCUGUUGCUGGUUAUUGUGGCUGUUCUCAGUUGGGCUUUGCUGCGUGAGAAAUUAUACGUUGGAACUGCCGUAGGAUCUGUCAUGAUUGUUGCUGGACUCUAUGCUGUUCUGUGGGGGAAAGAAAAGGAGAUGAAAUUGAAGGCUAUUGAAGCAAUAGAAGCCUGGAAGGAAGGUGGGAAAGAAGAGAAAGGUGACCUGGAAUUGCAGCUGCCUGCAAAUUCCAACGGCAGAAAUGCUCCUGCCGCAAGCUAAAUGAUGAGAUAAAGAAACAAUGAAGCAAAAGCAAAUUAAGUUUUGUUUCAAUCCAUAAUUAACUUUGAGGUGUAUGUGGGUGAUUUUCUUUAAUUACCCGAUUUUAAGAAGCUAUUAUCUUUAAAUGCUAGUUUUUGCUUAAUCAAGAAGUUGAUUAAUUAAUUAUCAUUACUUUGUGUGAUAUAAAUACAGAGCUAGCUCUGAGUUUUGUUUGUGGAAUCUAUGCCCACAAGUUGCCUGAACAAAAAUCUCCAUGAUUGUUGUGGAAUUUCUUAUGAGUACAGUUAAUGCUCACAAUGAAUAUAAAAUUGUGUCAAAU
rnacentral:misc_RNA from 1 species